rnacentral:rRNA from 1 species
GCUCUUGGGUUGUAAACCUCUUUUCUCAAGGAAAGAAAGAUGACGGUACUUGAGGAAUCAGCAUCGGCUAACUCCGUGCCAGCAGCCGCGGUAAUACGGAGGAUGCAAGCGUUAUCCGGAAUGAUUGGGCGUAAAGCGUCCGUAGGUGGCUGUGUGUGUCUAUUGUUAAAGAGUUUGGCUCAACCAAAUAAGGGCGGUAGAAACUACACAGCUAGAGUGCGUUCGGGGCAGAGGGAAUUCCUGGUGUAGCGGUGAAAUGCGUACAGAUCAGGAAGAACACCGGUGGCGAAAGCGCUCUGCUAGGCCGCAACUGACACUGAGGGACGAAAGCUAGGGGAGCGAAUGGGAUUAGAUACCCCAGUAGUCCUAGCCGUAAACGAUGGAUACUAGGCGUUGAGAGUAUCGACCCUCUCAGUGCCGUAGCUAACGCGUUAAGUAUCCCGCCUGGGGAGUACGCACGCAAGUGUGAAACUCAAAGGAAUUGACGGGGGCCCGCACAAGCGGUGGAGUAUGUGGUUUAAUUCGAUGCAACGCGAAGAACCUUACCAGGGCUUGACAUGUCUGGAAUCUUGGGGAAACUCAAGAGUGCCUUCGGGAGCCAGAACACAGGUGGUGCAUGGCUGUCGUCCGCUCGUGUCGUGAGAUGUUGGGUUAAGUCCCGCAACGAGCGCAACCCUUGUACUUAGUUGCCAGCAUUUAGGAUGGGCACUCUAAGGAGACUGCCGGUGACAAACCGGAGGAAGGUGGGGAUGACGUCAAGUCAGCAUGCCCCUUACGUCCUGGGCUACACACGUACUACAAUGCUACGGACAAAGGGCAGCGAGACUGCGAAGUUAAGCAAAUCUCAGAAACCGUAGCUCAGUUCAGAUCGCAGGCUGCAACUGGCCUGCGUGAAGGAGGAAUCGCUAGUAAUUGCAGGUCAGCAUANUGCAGUGAAUUCGUUCCCGGGCCUUGUACACACCGCCCGUCACACCAUGGAAGCUGGUCACGCCCGAAGGGGUUA